rnacentral:rRNA from 1 species
UACGGAGGGUGCAAGCGUUAUCCGGAUUCACUGGGUUUAAAGGGUGCGUAGGUGGGCAGGUAAGUCAGUGGUGAAAUCUCCGGGCUUAACUCGGAAACUGCCAUUGAUACUAUCUUUCUUGAAUACCGUGGAGGUCAGCGGAAUAUGUCAUGUAGCGGUGAAAUGCUUAGAUAUGACAUAGAACACCAAUUGCGAAGGCAGCUGGCUACACGAAUAUUGACACUGAUGCACGAAAGCGUGGGGGAUCAAACAGG